GAUGAAGAACGUAGCGAAAUGCGAUAAGUAAUGUGAAUUGCAGAAUUCAGUGAAUCAUCGAAUCUUUGAACGCACCUUGCGCCCUUUGGACAUUCCGAAGGGCAUGCCUGUUUGAGUAUCAUGAACACCUCAACUCUCACGGCUUGUCCGUGAUGAGCUUGGACUUUGGGGGUCUUGCCGGCCUGUGGUCGGCUCCUCUCAAAUGGAUCAGCUUGCCAGUGUUUGGUGGCAUCACAGGUGUGAUAACUAUCUGCGCUUGUGGUUUUCCAUCAGAUAACCUUCAGUGAUAUGGAGGUUCGCUGGAGCUCACAAAUGUCUCUCCUUAGUGAGGACAGCUCUUUGAACGUUUGAUCUCAAAUCAGGUAGGACUACCCGCUGGACUUAAGCAUAUCAAUAAGCGGAGGA
rnacentral:misc_RNA from 1 species